UUUUCAGAUGGCUUACUCUUGUCAUAGAGCCAAUGACUACAGAGCUUAGUCGCCCUCUAUAGGAAUGGAGCUAUGCAUCUACGUUAUGGAAACUAGGAACGCAAAUGCGAGUUGGAUUCCUGGCAGUGUUGUGGAUGUGCCCUCAACUGAACAUGAGCUUCUCCAGGUGAAACUGACCUUUGGCAUGAACCAGACAAAGACACUCUAUGGACCUAGAGUUAAACAUGAAUGGUGG
rnacentral:lncRNA from 1 species